GUGAACGCUGGCGGUAGGCCUAACACAUGCAAGUCGAACGGCAGCACAGUAAGAGCUUGCUCUUACGGGUGGCGAGUGGCGGACGGGUGAGGAAUACAUCGGAAUCUGCUUUUUCGUGGGGGAUAACGUAGGGAAACUUACGCUAAUACCGCAUACGACCUACGGGUGAAAGCAGGGGAUCUUCGGACCUUGCGCGAUUGAAUGAGCCGAUGUCGGAUUAGCUAGUUGGCGGGGUAAAGGCCCACCAAGGCGACGAUCCGUAGCUGGUCUGAGAGGAUGAUCAGCCACACUGGAACUGAGACACGGUCCAGACUCCUACGGGAGGCAGCAGUGGGGAAUAUUGGACAAUGGGCGCAAGCCUGAUCCAGCCAUACCGCGUGGGUGAAGAAGGCCUUCGGGUUGUAAAGCCCUUUUGUUGGGAAAGAAAAGCAGCAGGUUAAUACCCCGCUGUUCUGACGGUACCCAAAGAAUAAGCACCGGCUAACUUCGUG
rnacentral:rRNA from 1 species